UACGAAGGGGGCUAGCGUUGUUCGGAGUUACUGGGCGUAAAGGGCGCGUAGGCGGCCCUCCAAGUCGGGCGUGAAAGCCCACGGCUCAACCGUGGAAUUGCGCUCGAGACUGAAGGGCUCGAGGACGGGAGAGGAUGGUGGAAUUCCCAGUGUAGAGGUGAAAUUCGUAGAUAUUGGGAAGAACACCGGUGGCGAAGGCGGCCAUCUGGACCGUAUCUGACGCUGAGGAGCGAAAGCCAGGGGAGCAAACGGG
rnacentral:rRNA from 1 species